GGGGGUAUUGCUCAGUGGUAGAGCACUUGCCUAGCAUGCAGGAAUCCCUGGGUUCCAUCCCCAGCACCA
rnacentral:tRNA from 1 species